GUGAUUGAUUUGGCAGCAUAUAAACUAAAAUUGGAAUAAUUCAGAAGGAUUAUCAUGGCCCCUGUGCAAGGAUGACACACAAAUUUGUGUAGUAUUGCAUAUUUUG